AUUUGGAGAGGAUGCUUUUGGCGCGGCGCCGUCCGAGUUCCUUGGAACAGGACGCCACAGAGGGUGAGAGCCCCGUACGGACGGACGCCUAACCUUUACAAAGCUCCUUCGACGAGUCGAGUAGUUUGGGAAUGCUGCUCAAAAUGGGAGGUAAAUUUCUUCUAAAGCUAAAUACCGGCCAGAGACCGAUAGCGCACAAGUAGAGUGAUCGAAAGAUGAAAAGCACUUUGAAAAGAGGGUUAAAAAGUACGUGAAAUUGUUGAAAGGGAAGCGCCUGUGACCAGACUUGCGCCCCGUGGACCAUCCGGCGUUCUCGCCGGUGCACUCUGCGGGGCGCAGGCCAGCAUCGGUUCUCCUAGGGGGAUAAAGGCCGCGGGAACGUAGCUCCUUCGGGAGUGUUAUAGCCCGUGGUGGCAUGCCCCUGGGGGGACCGAGGACCGCGCUUCGGCAAGGAUGCUGGCGUAAUGGUCACCAGCGACCCGUCUUGAAACACGGACCAAGGAGUCAAGCAUUGGGGCGAGUGUAUGGGUGCCAAACCCGCACGCGAAAUGAAAGUAAACGCAGGUGAGAGCUUCGGCGCAUCAUCGACCGAUCCUGAUGUCUUCGGAUGGAUUUGAGUAAGAGCCUUACCGCUUGGACCCGAAAGAUGGUGAACUAUGCCUGAAUAGGGUGAAGCCAGAGGAAACUCUGGUGGAGG
rnacentral:rRNA from 1 species